UGGGGCACUGGGAGGACGGGAAGGGAGAUUAACUGAUUUAGAUUUAACGUUAGCAUCUCCUACUGCGGGUGUCUCAGCAAUAUUUUCAUUAUCUUCAUCUAAAUUAACCUCAUCUACUUCAUUUUCUUCUUCUAUACCGUAAUUUUUCUGAGCUUCUACAUUAUCCAUAUCGUGAGCACCUACACCUAUUUCUUCCUCAAAAGGUGUACCAAGCGGUACCGGAGGCGAAGGCACAC
rnacentral:lncRNA from 1 species